rnacentral:rRNA from 1 species
UUUCCGUAGGUGAACCUGCGGAAGGAUCAUUGUCGAACCCUCGCGGUAGAAUGACUUGCUAACCUGUAAAACACCGGCGCAGCAGCGCCAAGGAAUAUAAUAAUGAGUGUGCAACCUCGCAGAKCUYNGUUAUGCUGCCUGUGAGCUUUGCAUCCUUUCAAUAAAAAUGACUCUCGGCAAUGGAUAUCUCGGCUCUUGCAUCGAUGAAGAACGUAGCGAAAUGCGAUACGUGGUGUGAAUUGCAGAAUCCCGCGAACCAUCGAAACUUUGAACGCAAGUUGCGCCUCAAGCCAUUCGGUUGAGGGCACGUAUGCUUGGGUGUCAUGCAUUAUGUCUCCCCUCUCGUGUGUGGAGUGGGAAUAGAUCCUGGCCUCCUGGGCCCUUCCUUGGGCGUGGUUGGCCGAAAAUGUUGUCCUUGAUUUUGUUGAUGUCUUGGUGUGCGGUGGAUGYGCCAGGUGUGCAUAGUUGCCAGCCUUGCUCGGCUUCAUUGUGGCGKCGGGAUCCUAUGAAGCUGCCGGUUUUGGCUCUUUGAUUGCGACCCCAAGUCAGGCGAGACUACCCGCUGAGUUUAA